rnacentral:rRNA from 1 species
UAAGUAUACUGGAAAGUGUACUUGGAUAUCAAAAUGUAGUUUAAUAAAAUUUUUCAUUUACACUGAAAGGAUAUCUUUUAAAAAAGAUCAUUUUGAGCCUUAAACUUAGUUAUCUAAAUAUAUUUUAAACUUAACAUUUAAACCUAAAUAAAACAAAACAUUUACACGAUUUAGUAAAAGCGAUUGAACUUCUAUUAGAAACAAUAAAUAUAGUACCGUAAGGGAAAAGUGAAAUAAAAUGAAAACAAAAGCACAAAAAAGUAGAGAGUUACCUCGUACCUUUUGCAUCAUGGUUUAACUAGUAAAAACAAGCAAAGUGUUAUUAAAGUUUGUAUCCCCGAAACUGAGUGAGCUACUUUAAAAUAGCUGUUGAGCCAACUCGUCUCUGUUGCAAAAGAGUGAGAAAAUUUUUAAGUAGAGGUGACAAGCCUAUCGAACUCAGAUAUAGCUGGUUACUUGAGAAAAGAAUAUUAGUUCUGCCUUAAAUUAUAUAAUGCAUUAAAGCACACCUUUAAGAGUUAUUCAAAUAGGGUACAGCCUAUUUGAAAUAGGAAAUAACCUAAAAGACAGGGUAAUAGACGUAAUAUUAUAUAAGUUGGCCUAAAAGCAGCCACCUUUAAAAAAGCGUCAAAGCUUAAAUAUUUAUUAAUAAAAAUUUAUGAUUAAUAAUUAAACCCACCACUACUAUCAAGUAACUUUAUAUAAUUAUAAUAAAUAUUAUGUUAAAAUUAGUAAUAAGAAAUAGCACUUCUCCAAAAUGUAAGUGUAAUGCAAAACAAACAGAUAACUGCUAAUUACUGUAUAUGAACUUAAAGUAGUAACUUCACCAGAAAACCCUACAACACUAAACAUUAACCUAACACAAGAGCAUUACUGGAAAGAUUAAAAGAAGAGGAGGAACUCGCAAACAUAAACUCCGCCUGUUACAAAAACAUCGCCUCUUGUUAAAUUAUAAGAGGUCCUGCCUGCCCAAUGAUUUAAUUUAAUGGCCGCGGUAUCUUAACCGUGCAAAGGUAGCAUAAUCAAUUGUCCCUUAAAUUAGGACUAGUAUGAAUGGCGCCACGAGAGUUUAACUGUCUCCCUCUUUUAAUCAAUGAAAUUAAUUUUCCCGUGAAGAAGCGGGGAUGUACAUAUAAGACGAGAAGACCCCAUGGAGCUUUAAACUUACAUCACUUAUUUAAUAUUAUAGCACACUACUUAAUAAGAAUGCUCUCUAAUAGUUUUUGGUUGGGGCGACCCUGGAGAAAAAUAAAUCCUCCAGAUUGAAAAGAAUAAUAAUCCUUAUAUUAGAAUUACAAUUCAAAUAAACAAAAAUUUGACAAAACUGACCCAGAAUAUCUGAUCAGUGAACCAAGUUACCCUGGGGAUAACAGCGCAAUCCAUUUUAAGAGCCCAUAUCGACAAAUGGGUUUACGACCUCGAUGUUGGAUCGGGAUAUCCUAGCAGCGCAGCUGUUGCUAAUGGUUCGUUUGUUCAACGAUUAACAUCCC